rnacentral:rRNA from 1 species
AUGAACGCUGGCGGCGUGCUUAACACAUGCAAGUCGAACGGAAAGGCCCUGCUUUUGUGGGGUGCUCGAGUGGCGAACGGGUGAGUAACACGUGAGUAACCUGCCCUUGACUUUGGGAUAACUUCAGGAAACUGGGGCUAAUACCGGAUAGGAGCUCCUGCUGCAUGGUGGGGGUUGGAAAGUUUCGGCGGUUGGGGAUGGACUCGCGGCUUAUCAGCUUGUUGGUGGGGUAGUGGCUUACCAAGGCUUUGACGGGUAGCCGGCCUGAGAGGGUGACCGGCCACAUUGGGACUGAGAUACGGCCCAGACUCCUACGGGAGGCAGCAGUGGGGAAUAUUGCACAAUGGGCGGAAGCCUGAUGCAGCAACGCCGCGUGCGGGAUGACGGCCUUCGGGUUGUAAACCGCUUUCGCCUGUGACGAAGCGUGAGUGACGGUAAUGGGUAAAGAAGCACCGGCUAACUACGUGCCAGCAGCCGCGGUGAUACGUAGGGUGCGAGCGUUGUCCGGAUUUAUUGGGCGUAAAGGGCUCGUAGGUGGUUGAUCGCGUCGGAAGUGUAAUCUUGGGGCUUAACCCUGAGCGUGCUUUCGAUACGGGUUGACUUGAGGAAGGUAGGGGAGAAUGGAAUUCCUGGUGGAGCGGUGGAAUGCGCAGAUAUCAGGAGGAACACCAGUGGCGAAGGCGGUUCUCUGGGCCUUUCCUGACGCUGAGGAGCGAAAGCGUGGGGAGCGAACAGGCUUAGAUACCCUGGUAGUCCACGCUGUAAACGGUGGGUACUAGGUGUGGGGUCCAUUCCACGGGUUCCGUGCCGUAGCUAAACGCUUUAAGUACCCCGCCUGGGGAGUACGGCCGCAAGGCUAAAACUCAAAGGACUUGACGGGGCCCCGCACAAGCG